GAUGAACGCUGGCGGCGUGCCUAAUACAUGCAAGUCGAGCGAACGGACGAGAAGCUUGCUUCUCUGAUGUUAGCGGCGGACGGGGGAGUAACACGUGGAUAACCUACCUAUAAGACUGGGAUAACUUCGGGAAACCGGAGCUAAUACCGGAUAAUAUUUUGAACCGCAUGGUUCAAAAGUGAAAGACGGUCUUGCUGUCACUUAUAGAUGGAUCCGCGCUGCAUUAGCUAGUUGGUAAGGUAACGGCUUACCAAGGCAACGAUGCAUAGCCGACCUGAGAGGGUGAUCGGCCACACUAGAACGGAGACACGGUCCAGACUCCUACGGGGGGCAGCAGUAGGGAAUCUUCCGCAGAGGGCGAAAGCCUGACGGAGCAACGCCGCGUGAGUGAUGAAGGUCUUCGGAUCGUAAAACUCUGUUAUUAGGGAAGAACAUAUGUGUAAGUAACUGUGCACAUCUUGACGGUACCUAAUCAGAAAGCCACGGCUAACUACGUG
rnacentral:rRNA from 1 species